AACGUAGGAGACAAACGUUAUCCGGAGUUACUGGGCGUAAAGGGCGUGUAGGUGGUAUCGUAAGUCUGGCGUGAAAUUUCUCGGCUUAACCGAGGCAGGUCGUCGGAUACUGCGAGGCUAGAGGACGGUAGAGGCGUGUGGAAUUCCGGGUGUAGUGGUGAAAUGCGCAGAUAUCGGGAGGAACACCAAUGGCGAAGGCAGCUUGCUGGGACGGUACUGACGCUGAGGCACGAAAGCUAGGGGAGCAAACAGG
rnacentral:rRNA from 1 species